CCUGCUCAAUGUUAAUAAAUAGCCGCUUUAUGUGCUAAGGUAGCAUAAUAAAUUGUCUUUUAAUUAAAGAAUAGAAUGAAUGGAUAUAUGAUCUAAUAACUUUUUAAAUUAACCCACUUAAAAUUAAAAUUUCAGUAAAAAUUCUGUUAUUACAAAUAGGACGACAAGACCCUAAUGAACUUCACUAACAGUUAUACUGGGGCGGUAAAAACCUAAAUCUUUCUUCACUCCUCAUAUACAAGCUCAAACUAAGAAACAAAAACAAGUUACCAUAGGGAUAACAGCGUAAUAUUAUGCUAAAGCCCCCAUAAAACAUAAUGAUUACGACCUCGAUGUUGAAUUAAUGUACCUAAUAAAAGAAACCUCCUAAUAAGUAAGUCUGUUCGACUUUUAAAACAUUACAU
rnacentral:rRNA from 1 species